GGAAGUAAAAGUCGUAACAAGGUUUCCGUAGGUGAACCUGCGGAAGGAUCAUUCACAAUUAAUACGAUCACCAUGUGAACCCGCCAACAGUCUAGCUGUUGGCCAUUUCACACACUAGUCUGUUCAGGUGUGUGGCUACUUCGGUAGUUUCAGACAACUUGUGGUGGUUUAAAUGUCGAGAUAUUCCUAAGCUCUAUACACUAUUAGCGGUGGAUGUCUUGGCUCCCACAACGAUGAAGGCCGCAGCAAAAUGCGAUAAUCAUUGUGAAUUGCAGACUUCUUAGAAUCAACAGAACGCUGAACGCAUACGGCACCGUACUUGUACGGUAGGUCUGUUUCAGAGUCACUUUCGAUCUUCCCAAAACUCUUCUUUGGAGAGCGGACGGAAGGCAAGGUACUGCUCGUCUAUUUUACUAUGGGUUGGCAGUCGCAUUGUUCUAUGGCUACUCGUUUUCAACAUAUUCGACUCGCUCGGUUGUUGCAUAUACGGGUAAUAUAGCUAUAGCUUACAACUUAUAUGACCUGAAAUCAGACCAGGCUACCCGCUGGACUUAAGCAUAUUAGUCAGCGGAGGA
rnacentral:rRNA from 1 species